CCUACGGGAGGCAGCAGUGAGGAAUAUUGGUCAAUGGACGAGAGUCUGAACCAGCCAAGUAGCGUGAAGGAUGACUGCCCUAUGGGUUGUAAACUUCUUUUAUAUGGGAAUAAAACGUUCCACGUGUGGGAUUUUGUAUGUACCAUAUGAAUAAGGAUCGGCUAACUCCGUGCCAGCAGCCGCGGUAAUACGGAGGAUCCGAGCGUUAUCCGGAUUUAUUGGGUUUAAAGGGAGCGUAGGUGGAUUGUUAAGUCAGUUGUGAAAGUUUGCGGCUCAACCGUAAAAUUGCAGUUGAUACUGGCAGUCUUGAGUACAGUAGAGGUAGGCGGAAUUCGUGGUGUAGCGGUGAAAUGCUUAGAUAUCACGAAGAACUCCGAUUGCGAAGGCAGUUCACUGGACUGCAACUGACACUGAGGCUCGAAAGUGUGGGUAUCAAACAGGAUUAGAUACCCGGGUAGUC
rnacentral:rRNA from 1 species